rnacentral:rRNA from 1 species
UACGGAGGGUGCAGGCGUUAUCCGGAUUCACUGGGUUUAAAGGGUGCGUAGGUGGAAUGGUAAGUCAGUGGUGAAAUCUCCAAGCUUAACUUGGAAACUGCCGUUGAUACUAUCAUUCUUGAAUAUCGUGGAGGUAAGCGGAAUAUGUCAUGUAGCGGUGAAAUGCUUAGAUAUGACAUAGAACACCGAUUGCGAAGGCAGCUUGCUACACGAUCAUUGACACUGAGGCACGAAAGCGUGGGGAUCAAACAGG